rnacentral:rRNA from 1 species
UGGGGAAUUUUGGACAAUGGGCGAAAGCCUGAUCCAGCAAUGCCGCGUGUGUGAAGAAGGCCUUCGGGUUGUAAAGCACUUUUGUCCGGAAAGAAAUCCUUGGCUCUAAUACAGUCGGGGGAUGACGGUACCGGAAGAAUAAGCACCGGCUAACUACGUGCCAGCAGCCGCGGUAAUACGUAGGGUGCAAGCGUUAAUCGGAAUUACUGGGCGUAAAGCGUGCGCAGGCGGUUUGCUAAGACCGAUGUGAAAUCCCCGGGCUCAACCUGGGAACUGCAUUGGUGACUGGCAGGCUAGAGUAUGGCAGAGGGGGGUAGAAUUCCACGUGUAGCAGUGAAAUGCGUAGAGAUGUGGGAGGAAUACCGAUGGCGAAGGCAGCCCCCCUGGGGCCAAAUACUGACGCUCAUGCACGAAAGCGUGGGGAGCAAACAGGAUUAGAUACCCUGGUAGUCCACGCCCUAAACGAUGUCAACUAGUUGUUGGGGAUUCAUUUCCUUAGUAACGUAGCUAACGCGUGAAGUUGACCGCCUGGGGAGUACGGUCGCAAGAUU